GGUUAAGCGACUAAGCGUACACGGUGGAUGCCCUGGCAGUCAGAGGCGAUGAAGGACGUGCUAAUCUGCGAAAAGCGCCGGCGAGGUGAUAUGAACCCUUGACCCGGCGAUGUCCGAAUGGGGAAACCCAGUGCAAUCCGUUGCACUAUCGUUAACUGAAUACAUAGGUUAACGAGGCGAACCGGGGGAACUGAAACAUCUAAGUACCCCGAGGAAAAGAAAUCAACCGAGAUUCCCCCAGUAGCGGCGAGCGAACGGGGAGCAGCCCGGAGUCUGAAUCAGCUUGUGUGUUAGUGGAACGGUCUGGAAAGUCCGACGGUACAGGGUGAUAGUCCCGUACACGAAAGCACACAUGCUGUGAACUCGAAGAGUAGGGCGGGACACGUGGUAUCCUGUCUGAAUAUGGGGGGACCAUCCUCCAAGGCUAAAUACUCCUGACUGACCGAUAGUGAACCAGUACCGUGAGGGAAAGGCGAAAAGAACCCCGGCGAGGGGAGUGAAAAAGAACCUGAAACCGUGUACGUACAAGCAGUGGGAGCCUCUUUAUGGGGUGACUGCGUACCUUUUGUAUAAUGGGUCAGCGACUUAUAUUCUGUAGCAAGGUUAACCGUAUAGGGGAGCCGAAGGGAAACCGAGUCUUAACUGGGCGUUAAGUUGCAGGGUAUAGACCCGAAACCCGGUGAUCUAGCCAUGGGCAGGUUGAAGGUUGGGUAACACUAACUGGAGGACCGAACCGACUAAUGUUGAAAAAUUAGCGGAUGACCUGUGGCUGGGGGUGAAAGGCCAAUCAAACCGGGAGAUAGCUGGUUCUCCCCGAAAGCUAUUUAGGUAGCGCCUCGUGAAUUCAUCUUCGGGGGUAGAGCACUGUUUCGGCUAGGGGGCCAUCCCGGCUUACCAACCCGAUGCAAACUACGAAUACCGAAGAAUGUUAUCACGGGAGACACACGGCGGGUGCUAACGUCCGUCGUGAAGAGGGAAACAACCCAGACCGCCAGCUAAGGUCCCAAAGUCAUGGUUAAGUGGGAAACGAUGUGGGAAGGCACAGACAGCCAGGAUGUUGGCUUAGAAGCAGCCAUCAUUUAAAGAAAGCGUAAUAGCUCACUGGUCGAGUCGGCCUGCGCGGAAGAUGUAACGGGGCUAAACCAUGCACCGAAGCUGCGGCAGCGACACUUAUGUGUUGUUGGGUAGGGGAGCGUUCUGUAAGCCGUUGAAGGUGUGCUGUGAGGCAUGCUGGAGGUAUCAGAAGUGCGAAUGCUGACAUAAGUAACGAUAAAGCGGGUGAAAAGCCCGCUCGCCGGAAGACCAAGGGUUCCUGUCCAACGUUAAUCGGGGCAGGGUGAGUCGACCCCUAAGGCGAGGCCGAAAGGCGUAGUCGAUGGGAAACAGGUUAAUAUUCCUGUACUUGGUGUUACUGCGAAGGGGGGACGGAGAAGGCUAUGUCAGCCGGGCGACGGUUGUCCCGGUUUAAGCAUGUAGGCGGAGGUUCCAGGUAAAUCCGGUACCUUUUAACGCUGAGGUGUGAUGACGAGGCACUACGGUGCUGAAGUGAUAAAUGCCCUGCUUCCAGGAAAAGCCUCUAAGCAUCAGGUAACACGAAAUCGUACCCCAAACCGACACAGGUGGUCAGGUAGAGAAUACCAAGGCGCUUGAGAGAACUCGGGUGAAGGAACUAGGCAAAAUGGUGCCGUAACUUCGGGAGAAGGCACGCUGAUGUGUAGGUGAAGCCCCUGCGGGCGGAGCUGAAAUCAGUCGAAGAUACCAGCUGGCUGCAACUGUUUAUUAAAAACACAGCACUGUGCAAACACGAAAGUGGACGUAUACGGUGUGACGCCUGCCCGGUGCCGGAAGGUUAAUUGAUGGGGUUAGCGGCAACGCGAAGCUCUUGAUCGAAGCCCCGGUAAACGGCGGCCGUAACUAUAACGGUCCUAAGGUAGCGAAAUUCCUUGUCGGGUAAGUUCCGACCUGCACGAAUGGCGUAAUGAUGGCCAGGCUGUCUCCACCCGAGACUCAGUGAAAUUGAACUCGCUGUGAAGAUGCAGUGUACCCGCGGCAAGACGGAAAGACCCCGUGAACCUUUACUAUAGCUUGACACUGAACACUGGUCCUUGAUGUGUAGGAUAGGUGGGAGGCUUUGAAGCGUGGACGCCAGUCUGCGUGGAGCCGACCUUGAAAUACCACCCUUUAAUGGCUGGUGUUCUAACGUAGACCCGUAAUCCGGGUUGCGGACAGUGUCUGGUGGGUAGUUUGACUGGGGCGGUCUCCUCCCAAAGAGUAACGGAGGAGCACGAAGGUUGGCUAAUCCUGGUCGGACAUCAGGAGGUUAGUGCAAUGGCAUAAGCCAGCUUGACUGCGAGCGUGACGGCGCGAGCAGGUGCGAAAGCAGGUCAUAGUGAUCCGGUGGUUCUGAAUGGAAGGGCCAUCGCUCAACGGAUAAAAGGUACUCCGGGGAUAACAGGCUGAUACCGCCCAAGAGUUCAUAUCGACGGCGGUGUUUGGCACCUCGAUGUCGGCUCAUCACAUCCUGGGGCUGAAGUAGGUCCCAAGGGUAUGGCUGUUCGCCAUUUAAAGUGGUACGCGAGCUGGGUUUAGAACGUCGUGAGACAGUUCGGUCCCUAUCUGCCGUGGGCGCUGGAGAAUUGAGGGGGGCUGCUCCUAGUACGAGAGGACCGGAGUGGACGCAUCACUGGUGUUCGGGUUGUCAUGCCAAUGGCACUGCCCGGUAGCUAAAUGCGGAAGAGAUAAGUGCUGAAAGCAUCUAAGCACGAAACUUGCCCCGAGAUGAGUUCUCCCUGACCCUUUAAGGGUCCUGAAGGAACGUUGAAGACGACGACGUUGAUAGGUCGGGUGUGUAAGCGCAGCGAUGCGUUGAGCUAACCGAUACUAAUGAACCGUGAGGCUUAACCUU
rnacentral:rRNA from 1 species